rnacentral:tRNA from 1 species
GGGAGGAAAGGGGCUGGUGCCUCCCGCGGGCUGCAAACCCGUUGGCUUGCCUGUAAUCCAGGUGGGAGUCCGGUUCGAUUCCGACUUCCUCCCUCCA